ACUUUGAUUCUGGCUCGGGACGAACGCUGGCGGCGCGCCUAACACAUGCAAGUCGAGCGGGAAGCUUUUUAAGGAUUCUCCGGAUGAAUCAAAAAGUGGAGAGCGGCGGACGGGUGAGUAACGCGUGAGAAACCUGCCCUAUACAGGGGGAUAGCCAUUGGAAACGAUGAUUAAUACCCCAUAUGACCACAGUAUCGCAUGAUACAGCGGUGAAAACUCCGGUGGUAUAGGAUGGUCUCGCGUCUGAUUAGCUAGUUGGUGGGGUAACGGCCUACCAAGGCGACGAUCAGUAGCCGGCCUGAGAGGGUGACCGGCCACACUGGAACUGAGACACGGUCCAGACUCCUACGGGAGGCAGCAGUGGGGAAUAUUGCACAAUGGGCGAAAGCCUGAUGCAGCGACGCCGCGUGAACGAUGAAGGCUUUCGAGUCGUAAAGUUCUGUUCUUGGGGAAGAUAACGACGGUACCCAAGGAGAAAGCACCGGCUAAAUACGUGCCAGCAGCCGCGGUA
rnacentral:rRNA from 1 species